rnacentral:rRNA from 1 species
UAAGACCUCGCGUUAAUGGAGUGGCCGAUAUCUGAUUAGCUAGUUGGUGAGGUAAAGGCUCACCAAGGCGACGAUCAGUAGCUGGUCUGAGAGGACGACCAGCCACACUGGAACUGAGACACGGUCCAGACUCCUACGGGAGGCAGCAGUGGGGAAUUUUGGACAAUGGGGGAAACCCUGAUCCAGCCAUGCCGCGUGAGUGAAGAAGGCCUUCGGGUUGUAAAGCUCUUUCAGCCGGAACGAAACGGUCACGGCUAAUACCCGUAACUACUGACGGUACCGGAAGAAGAAGCACCGGCUAACUACGUGCCAGCAGCCGCGGUAAUACGUAGGGUGCAAGCGUUAAUCGGAAUUACUGGGCGUAAAGCGUGCGCAGGCGGUUUUGUAAGUCAGAUGUGAAAUCCCCGGGCUUAACCUGGGAACUG